rnacentral:rRNA from 1 species
UACGUAGGGUGCAAGCGUUGUCCGGAAUUAUUGGGCGUAAAGGGCUCGUAGGCGGUCCAUCGCGUCGGGAGUGAAAAGCUGGGGCUUAACCCCAGUCCUGCUUCCGAUACGGGUGGACUAGAGGUAGGUAGGGGAGAACGGAAUUCCUGGUGUAGCGGUGAAAUGCGCAGAUAUCAGGAGGAACACCCGUGGCGAAAGCGGCGUACUGGGUCUUAUCUGACGCUGAGGCACGAAAGCUAGGGUAGCGAACGGG